rnacentral:rRNA from 1 species
CAGUAACCACGGUAACACGCAGGGUGCGAGCGUUAAUCGGAAUUACUGGGCGUAAAGCGUGCGCAGGCGGUUGUGUAAGACAGGUGUGAAAUCCCCGGGCUUAACCUGGGAACUGCGCUUGUGACUGCACAGCUAGAGUAUGGCAGAGGGGGGUGGAAUUCCACGUGUAGCAGUGAAAUGCGUAGAGAUGUGGAGGAACACCGAUGGCGAAGGCAGCCCCCUGGGCCAAUACUGACGCUCAUGCACGAAAGCGUGGGGAGCAAACAGGAUUAGAUACCCCCGUAGUCCCUGUCUCUUAUAC